GCGUCCAGCUUCCGCCCUCGCCGACAUUUUGUGAAUGGACGCCUUUACUGUCGUCAGGCUUUAAGCAAACGGAAAGGAACGCGAUUCUGACAGUAAUAAACCCGAUUUAAUACUUAUUUAUCAUUCAUUAUAACCCAACAAGUUUACACAGCAAGAAGUCAUUUAUAUUCGCGCGUGUUUUCACUGGUAGUUGAUCAAAUAUGUCAGAGGAGCAGACUCUGGGCGAAGAUCCGAUGAUGAAGAUGGAGGAAGAUGAUGGAGAGGCUCUGGGUGAAGAGCAGAUCCCGGGGGUCGGUGGGUCUGAUGAUGGGGGGCAAGGACAGACGGAGGGCUCAAAGAUAGAUGCCAGUAAAAAUGAAGAAGAUGAGGGGAAAAUGUUUGUCGGUGGGUUAAGUUGGGACACAACCAAAAAAGACCUGAAGGAUUACUUCUCCAAAUUUGGGGAGGUGGUUGACUGCACUUUAAAGCUGGAUCCUUUGACGGGCCGGUCCAGAGGAUUUGGCUUUAUUCUGUUUAAAGAUGCCGAAAGUGUGGAAAAGGUGAUCACCCAGAAAGAUCACAAACUAAAUGGAAAAGUUAUUGACCCUAAGAAAGCAAAAGCCAUGAAGUCCAAAGAGCCUGUGAGGAAGAUAUUUGUUGGAGGUCUUUCCCCAGAUACGCCAGAAGAGAAGAUAAGAGAGUACUUUGAUGCUUAUGGAGAGGUGGAAUCCAUUGAGCUGCCAAUGGAGAAUAAAACAAAUAAAAGGCGAGGUUUCUGUUUCAUAACGUUUAAAGAGGAGGAACCAGUCAAGAAAAUUAUGGAGAAGAAGUACCAUAACAUUGGUCUAAGCAAGUGUGAGAUCAAGGUGGCCAUGUCAAAGGAGCAGUACCAACAGCAGCAGCAGUGGGGUGGGAGAGGAGGAUACUCCUAUAGAUCCAGAGGGAGAGGAGGUCCAAAUCAAAAUUGGAACCAGGGAUACGGAAAUUACUGGAAUCAAGGUUAUGGAAAUUACGGAAACUAUGGCUACAACAAUCAAGGCUAUGGUGGAUACGGGGGCUAUGAUUACUCGGGUUACAACAACUACUACGGAUAUGGUGACUACAGCAAUCAGCAGAGCGGUUACGGCAAAUCCCCACGGCGCGGUGGCCAUCAAAACAGUUACAAGCCAUACUAACGUUUAAACGCUACCAGAAACACGCAGCGGGGACUUCCUUGCAGGCCAUGAGCUGACUUCCCGAUUGUCUCACGCCCGCUCAUUGCGGACAGGGUACGAGAGGCGUACGCUCUCGAAUUCUCCCAUUUGAUGGAAUGACGGAGAAAGUCAAGCAAAGAAGAGAAACCAAGAAGGCGAUAUAUUUUAAAUAUGGAGUCAGUUUAUCAAGACAUUACUUUUUACCACAUUUACAGUCAUAAGCAGUUGGCCGUCUUUGGUCGCCAGUUAAUUCACCAUGUCAUUCAAAGCUAGAAAUUUCAUUGAAGUGUGCACCCUAAAGAAUAUUUCAAGUGUUGGAUGAUGAACUUUCCCUGAACUACUGUUUUUGUGUUGAAUUUGUUUGCCAUUUGUUUUUAUAAUGCUUGUGUUGUAUAAUUCCCUUAUGUGUAGCUCUCAUACAUGUCUGCCUUGAGUAAAAUACUCCAUAGAAACUCCAAAUCAUUUAGAAUUUAUUUGUAUACAGAGCUUUUAAUUUAUUGCUUACAAUGCAAACAGAGUGUAAGCCAUUUCAUAUUUAUUUCAUAUUGCAGUAUUUAAACCAUUGAAAAAUACAGUGGAUAAAAAAUAAAGUGUAUUAACUUUAAGUCUGUCAUUUCGUCAUUGAUUAAAGGAAUAGUGAACACAA